rnacentral:rRNA from 1 species
AAUCAGUAAUCUUACUUUUGUUAUAAGAACGUUAGCAUUAUAAGAAAACUAAUUUUGCACUUUUCUAAAUAGUAGAUUUUAUCGAAACAUAAAUAUAGUGAAAGUAAAAAGUAUUGUGAAAGAAAGUAGAAAUAACACUUAAAAUUCUCAAAAGUAAAUAUAAAAAAUUGUAUCUUGUGUAUAAUAGGUUUUCAAAAUUAGAUCUGCAAAUAAUCAUCCCGAAAAAAAGAUAGCUAAUUUUAAGAGAAAGUUUUUGUAGCAAUAAAAUUUUAAACUUAACAUUAGAGGUGAUAUGCCAAUCGAGCUUUUAUAUCUGGUUUUCUAAGAAAUAAAUUUAAUUUACGUGCUUAGCUACUUAGCUAUGCAACUAAGAAGAUUAGGGUAGAGCUUUUUCUUCCAAAAUGAAAAAUCAUAGAACCAAUAAAUAGGCACUUAUAAAAGUAGGCUUAAAAGUAGCCAUCUUUUCCAGGUUUUUCAACCAAUAUAACAAAAUAUUUUAAAUUUUACAGGUUCUUUUUAUCAAGUAUUAGAAAAUUAACUUCAACUUAACUCGUUUAGUUACUAUGAAAUCAUUAGUAAAAUUUAUAUGUUAUAAUAUUUUUUAUUAUAAAUAAAAUCUUUUAAAUAUUAAAAAUUUAUUUAAGGAACUCGGCAAAUAUUAUUUCCGCCUGUUUAACAAAAACAUGUCUUUGUGAAGAUUUACACAGUCUGGCCUGCCCACUGAAUUAUUAAAGGGCCGCGGUAUUUCUGACCGUGCGAAGGUAGCAUAAUCAUUAGUCUUUUAAUUAAAGGCUCGUAUGAAAGGUCGAACGAGAGAUAUACUGUCUUAACAAAAAAAAUUGAAUUUAACUUUAAAGUGAAAAGGCUUUAAUAUUUUAGAAAGACGAUAAGACCCUAUAAAUCUUUACAUCACUCUUAGUAUUAAGCCAAUUUGUUAGUGUAAGGAAAAAUACUAAAAAAAUGUUUUGUUGGGGCAACAAAGAUAUAAAUAAACUAACUGUUUUUACUUCUAAACAAAGAUUUUUGAUAAUAAAUUUGAUCCUUUCUAAAGAUUAAAAGACUAAGUUACUUUAGGGAUAACAGCGUCAUUUUUCUUGAGAGUUCCCAUCGAAAGAAAAGUUUGCGACCUCGAUGUUGAAUUAAAAUCUCUACAUAAUGCAGCAGUUAUGAAAGAAAGUCUGUUCGACUUUUAAAAUUUUACAUGAUUUGAGUUCAGACCGGCGUGAGCCAGGUCGGUUUCUAUCUUCUAAAAAAAAUUAAACUACCUUAGUACGAAAGGAUUAGGUAGUUAAAAUAAUUUUACUAAAUAUGAACAUCACUUUUGCCUAAACAAUAUUUUGUGCUUCAAUUUUAUGAAACUCAUAAACAGGUUUAUAAAUAGUUCAAGCUAACUAUUUUGUGUUCGCAGUU